UACGGAGGGGGCUAGCGUUGUUCGGAAUUACUGGGCGUAAAGCGCACGUAGGCGGACCAGAAAGUCAGAGGUGAAAUCCCAGAGCUCAACUUUGGAACUGCCUUUGAAACUCCUGGUCUUGAGAUCGAGAGAGGUGAGUGGAAUUCCGAGUGUAGAGGUGAAAUUCGUAGAUAUUCGGAGGAACACCAGUGGCGAAGGCGGCUCACUGGCUCGAUACUGACGCUGAGGUGCGAAAGCGUGGGGAGCAAACAGG
rnacentral:rRNA from 1 species